AUGUCUAAGCACAAACUAUCUAAUUGUGAAGCCGCGAAUGGCUCAUUACAACAGCCAUAGUUUACUGGAUAUAUUCCAAUUACAUGGAUAACUGUGGUAAUUCUACAGCUAAUACACGCAUCAAAACCCCGACUUCGUGGAGGGGUGCGUUUGUUACUUCAAAUCAAUCGGACCUCGGUCUGAACUCAAGUGAUAUUGAACAAUUUAGCUGAUCGCACGGUCUGUGUACCGGCGACAUAUCCUUCAAAUGUCUGCCUUAUCAACUUUCGAUGGUAGAUUAUGCGCCUACCAUGGUUGUUACGGGUAACGGAGAAUCAGGGUUUGAUUCCGGAGAGGGAGCCUGAGAAAUGGCUACCACAUCCAAGGAAGGCAGCAGGCACGCAAAUUACCCACUCCCGGCACGGGGAGGUAGUGACGAAAAAUAACAAGCUGGUCUCUAUGAGUUCCGGCAUUGUAAUGGGAACAAUUUAAAUCAUUUAUCGAGGAUCUAUUGGAGGGCAAGUCUGGUGCCAGCAGCCGCGGUAAUUCCAGCUCCAAUAGCGUAUAUUAAAGUUGUUGCGGUUAAAAAGCUCGUAGUUGGAUCUACGACCAAGGCCUGUGGUCAUCCAGCUUGGAUGUACUGCACGGUCUGGUCCUUUUAUCUAGUAUUCGAUUGAUGCUCUUCACUGAGUGUCUCUAGUUGCUGGAACGUUUACCUUGAAAAAAUUGAAGUGCUCAAGGCAGGCACACGCCUGAACAUUGUUGCAUGGGAUAAUAGAAUAGGACUUCGGUUCUAUUUUGUUGGUUUUCGGAACGCGAAGUAAUGAUUAAUAGGGACAGACGGGGGCAUUCGUAUUGCUGCGUUAGAGGUGAAAUUCUUGGAUCGUAGCAAGACGAACUACUGCGAAAGCAUUUGCCAAGAAUGUUUUCAUUAAUCAAGAACGAA
rnacentral:rRNA from 1 species